ensembl:lncRNA
GGGCUCUUUCUUUUUCUGGUGCCAACAACAGAUUCCAAAGCAGCUAUUAUUUGAGGUGCAUAAUUGGCCAAGUGCUCCAGGGGUUAUAAAGACUGCCUUCCUGUAGCUGGAAUAGACAGAUUUAGCCUCUUACUGAAACUGAAGGCUGCAAUGGCGAUAACAAAUCUGAUUCUAACUCUCCCAUGUCACUGCUGCCCAAAGGUGCCUUUGUCUCCCAGGAGAAAGAGGUUGGAGGCUCCACUAUAUUUUGAAUAAAAAAAAAAAAUCUUUCCAAAACCAAGAAGAUCCAUCAUGAUCUGGCCUCAACUACCUGUCCAACCCACCAGCCACAUCGACCUUCUGUUCAGCUGCUAAGAAAACUUAACAAUUUUCUGGUUUCAGAACUAUCACACACUCUUCUCUCUGCCUGCAAUGGCCCUCACCCAAGUGGCUGACUGUAUGUUCCAUGAAAGAAGGGGCCACCAAGUAUAUACACAGUUCCUGGUAUAAUCUUGGCUCAUAAUAGGCUCUCGAUAAAUGUUUGCUGGAAAGCGUGGUGACAGAAGAUCCUCACUGGUAUUCUGCUGCUGUUCUUUAAAAAAUAAAAAGCCUCAUUUUUUCUGCCUUUUGCAUAGUUCUCUACUGCAUUUCACUGGGAAGUGGGAACACUUUACUUUGUUGAAUCAGAAAAGCCCUUGAAAACAAAACAAAGAGAAAAAAGAAAGAAAAGCCCUUGACUUUUCUUUUGUGUAUACUACGCUGGGC